rnacentral:rRNA from 1 species
GACGAACGCUGGCGGCGUGCUUAACACAUGCAAGUCGAACGGAAAGGCCCUGCUUUUGUGGGGUGCUCGAGUGGCGAACGGGUGAGUAACACGUGAGUAACCUGCCCUUGACUUUGGGAUAACUUCAGGAAACUGGGGCUAAUACCGGAUAGGAGCUCCUGCUGGAGGGGGGGGGUUGGAAAGUUUCGGCGGUUGGGGAUGGACUCGCGGCUUAUCAGCUUGUUGGUGGGGUAGGGGCUGCCCAAGGCUUUGACGGGUAGCCGGCCUGGGAGGGUGACCGGCCACAUUGGUCCUGAGAUACGGCCCAGCCUCCUACGGGAGGCAGCAGUGGGGAAUAUUGCACAAUGGGCGGAAGCCUGAUGCAGCAACGCCGCGUGCGGGAUGACGGCCUUCGGGUUGUAAACCGCUUUCGCCUUUGACGAAGCGUGAGUGACGGUAAUGGGUAAAGAAGCACCGGCUAACUACGUG